rnacentral:rRNA from 1 species
AGAGUUUGAUCCUGGCUCAGAACGAACGUUGGCGGCGUGGAUUAGGCAUGCAAGUCGAACGAAGACGGGGUAGCAAUACCUCGGACUGAGUGGCGAAAGGGGCAGUAAGGCGUGGGUAACCUACCCUGGGGACCGGGAUAGCCAUUCUAACGGAUGGGUAAUACUGGGCGACGUAGCGAGGGGGCAUCUCCUUGUUACCAAAUGAAUUUCGCCCUGGGAGGGGCUCACGUGGUAUUAGCUAGUUGGUGAGGUAACGGCUCACCAAGGCUCAGAUGCCUAGCAGGUGUGAGAGCACGACCUGCGCCACUGGCACUGAGACACUGGCCAGACUCCUACGGGAGGCUGCAGUCGAGAAUCUUCGGCAAUGGGCGAAAGCCUGACCGAGCGACGCCGCGUGUGCGAUGAAGGCCUUCGGGUUGUAAAGCACUGUCGAGGGGGAGGAAGCCGCAAGGUUGACCUAUCCCUGGAGGAAGCACGGGCUAAGUUCGUGCCAGCAGCCGCGGUAAGACGAACCGUGCGAACGUUGUUCGGAAUCACUGGGCUUAAAGGGCGCGUAGGCGGGUCAUCAAGUCGGGGGUGAAAUACUUCAGCUUAACUGGAGAAUAGCCUUCGAUACUGGUGGCCUAGAGGGAGGUAGGGGUCUGUGGAACUUCCGGUGGAGCGGUGAAAUGCGUUGAUAUCGGAAGGAACGCCGGUGGCGAAAGCGACGGACUGGACCU